UUACUAAACAAAGUAGUAAUGAUAUUCAUGUAGUAUUUUAACUUUCAUACAUGUACUACAUUUACUACUGCUGCAGUGAGGAGAAACUGGAUCCCCACCCUAUUCAACUCUCAAUAAUCCACCAAUCAGAACCAAAAGAAGAGUCAGUGGAAGGUUGGACAGCUCAAGUUUUCUCUUUGUUUGUCUCUAGUUUGUUUGUCUGCCUAGCAAAAACAUGAAGAUGAAUGUUUACUGACAUGAGAGCAACAUGACAGGCUGCAUACAACAUGUGAGGAUGACGAUGAUGAUGAUGAUGGAAGAUGGAUCAGACAACAGCGACAUCGCUAAACAACAACUAACAUAACACACACAAUACAACAGCACACAAUAAGUUGACAUCAUACAUGAAUGUGUAGUUUACCUGUGCAGUUUGUUGAGAUGUGUUAGCGAUGAAGAUUAAAAAAUACAGUCCAUUAAAGUGGUUUUUGUUGGUUUUAUUGUCUCUGUGUCUCCUCCAGGCUGUUGUUUGGAUGGAUUAGUGAUCUGUACACAUGAGGCCCCGCCCACAAAGAUUAACACACACACGCAAGCACAUACACGCACGCACACACACUCACACACACACACAGCUGUUGAUCAGUGGGUGGGGGCGGGGCUCACAGCUGUUUAGAGCCACUCAGUCAUGAUGGGCUCCUUGCGGAGCAUUGUGGGAUUUGUAGUGUUUGUCAUCAUCAGACAGGACUGUAAUUGCAAGACCUGCUAAUUCUGUUUGAAUGUAAGCUAAUCAAGAUAUCAUCUCCUGUCUGCCCCUGACAGGACGAUACCUGAUGAGCUGUUACAAGGUCUCAUUGUCCUGAUGGCUUUAACUGACUCUGUCCUGCUAUUGGUUCACUAACACGCCCACAUGUUGGUUUUAGCAUGUAAGCAUCAUCAGAUUAGCAACAACAUUCUUCACACCAUUCCCUUUAAAGUAGAAGUAGAAGGAGCAGUCAGAUGACAGGAACUCAUUGUGUUUGUGAUUGUACAACAACAGCUAAAC